rnacentral:rRNA from 1 species
GGACCCGCACAAGUAGUGGAGCAUGUGGUUUAAUUCGAAGAUACGCGCAGAACCUUACCAACACUUGACAUGUUCGUCGCGACUUUGAGAGAUCAAAGUUUUCGGUUCGGCCGGACGAAACACAGGUGCUGCAUGGCUGUCGUCAGCUCGUGUCGUGAGAUGUUGGGUUAAGUCCCGCAACGAGCGCAACCCUCACUUUUAGUUGCCAUCAUUAAGUUGGGCACUCUGAAAGAACUGCCAGUGAUAAGCUGGAGGAAGGUGGGGAUGACGUCAAGUCCUCAUGGCCCUUACGUGUUGGGCUACACACGUGCUACAAUGGUAUCUACAACAGGAGGCAAGACUGCGAAGUUAAGCAAAUCCUUAAAAGAUACCUCAGUUCGGAUUGCACUCUGCAACUCGAGUGCAUGAAGCUGGAAUU